GUGUGGCUGAAAACUACUCUGAAUAAUUUACACAGCCAGACACCAUGCAAAAGUUCUCCUUUUAAAAUGAACUAUGGUAUACUUGGCUUUUUAAUAGUAUUAUCAUCAUUAAUUAAAAGCAAGUGCAAGC